CCUACGGGUGGCAGCAGUGGGGAAUAUUGGACAAUGGGCGAAAGCCUGAUCCAGCCAUGCCGCGUGUGUGAAGAAGGCCUUCGGGUUGUAAAGCACUUUCGGUGGGGAAGAAAGCCUUGGGGCUAAUACCCUCGAGGAAGGACAUCACCCACAGAAGAAGCACCGGCUAACUCCGUGCCAGCAGCCGCGGUAAUACGGAGGGUGCGAGCGUUAAUCGGAAUUACUGGGCGUAAAGCGCGCGUAGGCGGUCUGAUAAGCCGGUUGUGAAAGCCCCGGGCUCAACCUGGGAACGGCAUCCGGAACUGUCAGGCUAGAGUGCAGGAGAGGAAGGUAGAAUUCCCGGUGUAGCGGUGAAAUGCGUAGAGAUCGGGAGGAAUACCAGUGGCGAAGGCGGCCUUCUGGACUGACACUGACGCUGAGGUGCGAAAGCGUGGGUAGCAAACAGGAUUAGAUACCCCAGUAGUC
rnacentral:rRNA from 1 species